AAACUUAGGAUAGCCCCCUAAAACCGAAG
rnacentral:tRNA from 1 species